GCUUAUACAUGCAAGUCGAACGGUAAGGCCGAGGGUAGCAAUACCCGAGGCACACGAGUGGCGCACGGGUGCGUAACGCGUAUGCAACCUGCCCCCGACCGGGACAAAACGCUGAGAAAUCGGCGCUAAUAUCCCAUGCUGACCCGGGGCGGCAUCGCCCUUGGUCGAAAGAUUCAUUGGUCGGGGAUGGGCAUGCGUGGCAUUAGCUGGUUGGCGGGGUAACGGCCCACCAAGGCGACGAUGCCUAGGGGUUCUGAGAGGAAGGUCCCCCACACUGGAACUGAGACACGGUCCAGACUCCUACGGGAGGCAGCAGUAGGGAAUAUUGGGCAAUGGGAGCAAUCCUGACCCAGCCAUGCCGCGUGAAGGAAGACGGCCCUACGGGUUGUAAACUUCUUUUGCCAGGGAGUAACCGUCGCGACGUGUCGCGGCCUGAGAGUACCUGGCGAAUAAGCAUCGGCUAACUCCGUGCCAGCAGCCGCGGUAAUACGGAGGAUGCGAGCGUUAUCCGGAUUCAUUGGGUUUAAAGGGUGCGCAGGCGGACGGCCAAGUCGUGGGUGAAAUCCCGCCGCUCAACGGUGGACGGUCCUACGAUACUGGUCGACUGGAGUUCUGGUGGCGCGGCCGGAAUGUGACGUGUAGCGGUGAAAUGCAUAGAUAUGUCACAGAACGCCGAUCGUGAAGACAGGCCGCGAACCGGAGACUGACGCUCAUGCACGAAAGCGUGGGUAUCAAACAGGAUUAGAUACCCUGGUAGUCCACGCUGUAAACGAUGACCACUCGUUCCCGGGGGGAGACUUUCGGGGGCCAAGCGAAAGCGAUAAGUGGUCCACCUGGGGAGUACGAUCGCAAGGUUGAAACUCAAAGGAAUUGACGGGGGCCCGCACAAGCGGAGGAGCAUGUGGUUUAAUUCGAUGAUACGCGAGGAACCUUACCCGGGCUUGACGUGCGACGGCGGCGCAGAGACUGCGCCUCCCUUCGGGCGUCGUGCGAGUGCUGCAUGGUUGUCGUCAGCUCGUGCCGUGAGGUGUAGUUUAGUCUCUGCAACGAGCGCAACCCUUACCCGCAAUUGCCAGCGACGCCGGGCACUCUGCGGGGAACUGCCCCCCCAAGCGAGAAGAAGGGGGA
rnacentral:rRNA from 1 species